AGUGAACGCUGGCGGUAGGCCUAACACAUGCAAGUCGAACGGCAGCACAGUAAGAGCUUGCUCUUACGGGUGGCGAGUGGCGGACGGGUGAGGAAUACAUCGGAAUCUACUUUUUCGUGGGGGAUAACGUAGGGAAACUUACGCUAAUACCGCAUAUGACCUACGGGUGAAAGCAGGGGAUCUUCGGACCUUGCGCGAUUGAAUGAGCCGAUGUCGUAUUAGCUAGUUGGCGGGGUAAAGGCCCACCAAGGCGACGAUCCGUAGCUGGUCUGAGAGGAUGAUCGGCCACACUGGAACUGAGACACGGUCCAGACUCCUACGGGAGGCAGCAGUGGGGAAUAUUGGACAAUGGGCGAAAGCCUGAUCCAGCCAUACCGCGUGAGUGAAGAAGGCCUUCGGGUUGUAAAGCCCUUUUGUUGGGAAAGAAAAGCAGCAGGUUAAUACCCCGCUGUUCUGACGGUACCCAAAGAAUAAGCUCCGGCUAACUUCGUG
rnacentral:rRNA from 1 species